rnacentral:piRNA from 1 species
UGGAAUCCAAGUUACACUUCCGCUUCUUCGC